GACCUUAACUUCUCCUCUAAAUAAAAAGUUUGGUCCUAACUUUAAAAUCAAUUUUUUCUUAACUUACACAUGCAAGUCUCCCCAACCCCGUGAGUACGCCCUUUUUCCCACUUGGGACCAGGAGCCGAUAUUAGGCGCAAUAGUUUGCCCAAAACAUCUAGCAAUAGCCACACCCAUAAGGGACACAGCAGUGAUUAACAUUAGAUAUAAGUGCCAACUUGAUCUAGUCAAAGAAUAUAGGGCCGGCAAAAUUGGUGCCAGCCGCCGCGGUUACACCACAGGCCCAAACUGAUUUUUAUCGGCGUAAAGCGUGAUUAAAGUCAACAGACAACUAGAGUUAAACUUAAAUUAAGCAGUGACAUGUAAAUUUUAAGGAAACCUAUAAACGAAAGUUACUCUAUUUUUACAACUUGAAUCCACGAUAGCCAAGAUACAAACUAGGAUUAGAUACCCUACUAUGCUUGGCCUUAAACCUUAAAUUACUAACC
rnacentral:rRNA from 1 species